rnacentral:rRNA from 1 species
CUGCGAGUGAACCGGGAAAAGCUCAAAUUUAAAAUCUGGCAGCCUUGGCUGUCCGAGUUGUAAUCUGGAGAAGCGUCUUCCGCGCUGGACCGUGUACAAGUCUCCUGGAACGGAGCGUCAUAGAGGGUGAGAAUCCCGUCUUUGACACGGACUACCAGUGCUCUGUGAUGCGCUCUCAAAGAGUCGAGUUGUUUGGGAAUGCAGCUCAAAAUGGGUGGUAAACUCCAUCUAAAGCUAAAUAUUGGCGAGAGACCGAUAGCGAACAAGUACCGUGAGGGAAAGAUGAAAAGCACUUUGGAAAGAGAGUUAAACAGUACGUGAAAUUGCUGAAAGGGAAACGCUUGAAGUCAGUCGCGUUUGCUAGGACUCAGCCUUGCCUCGGCUUGGUGCAUUUCCUAGUAGACGGGCCAGCAUCACUUUUGACUGCGGGAGAAAGGUUGGAGGAAUGUGGCACCUUCGGGUGUGUUAUAGCCUCUAGCUGUAUGCCGUGGUUGGGAGUGAGGAACUCAGCACGCCGCAAGGCGGGGCUUCGGCCACCUUCGUGCUUAGGAUGCUGGCGUAAUGGCUUUAAACGACCCGUCUUGAAACACGGACCAAGGAGUCUAACAUGCCUGCGAGUGUUUGGGUGGAAAACCCGAGCGCGUAAUGAAAGUGAAAGUUGGGACCUCUGUCGUGGAGGGCACCGACGCCCGGACCAGACCUUCUGUGACGGAUCCGCGGUAGAGCAUGUAUGUUGGGACCCGAAAGAUGGUGAACUAUGCCUGAAUAGGGUGAAGCCAGAGGAAACUCUGGUGGAGGCUCGUAGCGAUUCUGACGUGCAAAUCGAUCGUCAAAUUUGGGUAUAGGGGCGAAAG